GCAUUGGUGGCCGAGUGGUCCAAGGCGGCAGAUUUAAGUUUAUGCACAAUCUCUGUUGGGGAGACCCGCGCAAGUUCGAACCUUGUCCAAUGCA